AGCACCUGAGGAAAGAAGCCGGUCAGCCCUGGAAGCACAGGUGAAGGUAAUUAGCUGUGUGACCGGAAGGGGUGGAGCCUGGCUGCACCUCUCUUAGACCUCAUUUAAGGGCUGAUUGCCAUCAGGGAAGGGUCUUUUUCUGGAAAUCUCUUGUUGGUGAAGCUUUCUCCUGUGAACCUUCUGAUUCAGUUGCUACCCUGACUCUACUCCAGGACAAAGGGGGAAGUCACCACACUUUGAAUGAAGUCUCACUAAAAUCUUCAGGUGCUAGCCCCUUUGCAGGGGUGUCUAGCAAGCUGGUGAUGGCAUUCAGAUCUAGACAGAUGUCUCCUAGGACCUAUGUUGGCACCACCAAUUUAUUUCAUGUUGGCCACGAAAUAGCCAUCACCUUAUAAAGACUUCAAUUUAUUGCUAGUGACUGGUGAAUCUCUGGAGGUUUGCUUGGGACAAAUAUCAAUUCAGCUGCCAAACCUUAUCUGAACUAUCUGAACUUCUUGUGUCUAAAAAAAUUGCGCUGGAAUGCUCAUCAGAUAAGGAUUUACUCUGUGAUUGACUGUAGUUAUUGCUUCCGGAAAGGCUAGCAUUACUGCCAUAACUGCAUUUUGUUUGGUCGUUGAUGUGUCUAGUUUUGGCUCCGAAAUGAAGAAAAAACAUAAAGGUGACCAUAAAUAUACAUGUAUUUUUUUAAUUGUAUAAAUAUGAGUUGAUCUUCGCUUUCUGGGUUUCGUUCUCUAUUUUCCAUGUCCUGGUGGUUCCUGAAGCGAAAGUUUGUGUUUGUUUUCUUUUCUGUUCUUCUGAAGACAGAAUUGUGAUUGAUUCUAGUGAGAUCUUUUUAUAUUGGUCUGUCUUGUUCAGGAAGAGUCAUGGUUUAAAAAAAACAAAACAAAAAAAAAACAGGAAGGAAGGACAGAUGGCCAUACAGUCCCAUUUAAAAGAGCUACAGAAUAAAACGCCAGGGUAUGUAGAGAUAACUGGAAUUUUCUGCCUUAACUUUGAUGUUGGUUUUUUUUUUUUUUAAGACGAAGAGGUCAGAUAAACAAGCCAGUCUGUUUGAAAGACACCUAUUGCAGUUCCAUAUAUAAAUAUUUCCUUUUGAUUAUUUAAAUGUUUGCAGUGUGCUCAAUUUUUGAAGUGUAAUAUUUCAAUAUAGCCAACCAAGUAGAUACAUAUUUUCAUUUCUUGGUUUGAUGAUGGUUUUGGAAAUUGUUGGUGUUGACUGACAUUAUUGGAGAGCUUUCUUUUUUUUUUAAACAACCAGAAAAUGGAAAAUUCCUUUUUCCUAUUCUUAUGAAAUAAAACAAAGGCUACUCUAGUGACAAACAAGUAACCAAAAUCCUCCAAGAAGUCAGUGUCAUUGGUAAGAGCAUAAAGACAAUAACUGAUUGUGGGUCAGACCUCUGAAGAUACGUCAUGUUCAGGUUCCUCUUUCUCACAAGAAGUGCAAGAAUCUAGAGCGGAGAUGAGAUAGUUUAGAUGCCUUUUUACCAUCAAAUCUUCACAUAGACCAUGUUAGGGACUAGCAGAUGUACCAGAGGGAGAAAGUGGCAGGUUUGAAAAAGCAAAAUGUAUCUCGCGAAUGAGAAGAAAAAAUGUCCCAUUUCAGAAAUCUGUAACACGUCCACAAGGACCGUGUAAUAUUGAUGGUGCAGCAUCUUCAUGCAGGGUCACCUAGCUCAUAGGAAGAGAG
ensembl:lncRNA